rnacentral:rRNA from 1 species
AGAUUGAACGCUGGCGGCAGGCCUAACACAUGCAAGUCGAGCGGUAGAGAGGUGCUUGCAUCUCUUGAGAGCGGCGGACGGGUGAGUAAUGCCUAGGAAUCUGCCUAGUGGUGGGGGAUAACGUUCGGAAACGGACGCUAAUACCGCAUACGUCCUACGGGAGAAAGCGGGGGACCUUCGGGCCUCGCGCCAUUAGAUGAGCCUAGGUCGGAUUAGCUAGUUGGUGAGGUAAUGGCUCACCAAGGCGACGAUCCGUAACUGGUCUGAGAGGAUGAUCAGUCACACUGGAACUGAGACACGGUCCAGACUCCUACGGGAGCAGCAGUGGGAAUAUUGGACAAGUGGGACAAAGCCUG